rnacentral:rRNA from 1 species
UUUCCAGACUCCUACGGGAGGCAGCAGUGGGGAAUAUUGGGCAAUGGGCGCAAGCCUGACCCAGCAACGCCGCGUGAAGGAAGAAGGCUUUCGGGUUGUAAACUUCUUUUAUUGAGGACGAAACAAAUGACGGUACUCAAUGAAUAAGCCACGGCUAACUACGUGCCAGCAGCCGCGGUAAUACGUAGGUGGCAAGCGUUGUCCGGAUUUACUGGGUGUAAAGGGCGUGCAGCCGGGCUGACAAGUCAGAUGUGAAAUCCCGCGGCUCAACCGCGGAACUGCAUUUGAAACUGUCAGUCUUGAGUACCGGAGAGGUCAUCGGAAUUCCUUGUGUAGCGGUGAAAUGCGUAGAUAUAAGGAAGAACACCAGUGGCGAAGGCGGAUGACUGGACGGCAACUGACGGUGAGGCGCGAAAGCGUGGGGAGCAAACAGGAUUAGAUACCCUUGUAGG